CGCUCAGGUGCGAAAGCGUGGGGAGCAAACAGGAUUAGAUACCCUGGUAGUCCACGCCGUAAACGAUGUCGAUUUGGAGGUUGUGCCCUUGAGGCGUGGCUUCCGGAGCUAACGCGUUAAAUCGACCGCCUGGGGAGUACGGCCGCAAGGUUAAAACUCAAAUGAAUUGACGGGGGCCCGCACAAGCGGUGGAGCAUGUGGUUUAAUUCGAUGCAACGCGAAGAACCUUACCUGGUCUUGACAUCCACAGAACUUUCCAGAGAUGGAUUGGUGCCUUCGGGAACUGUGAGACAGGUGCUGCAUGGCUGUCGUCAGCUCGUGUUGUGAAAUGUUGGGUUAAGUCCCGCAACGAGCGCAACCCUUAUCCUUUGUUGCCAGCGGUUAGGCCGGGAACUCAAAGGAGACUGCCAGUGAUAAACUGGAGGAAGGUGGGGAUGACGUCAAGUCAUCAUGGCCCUUACGACCAGGGCUACACACGUGCUACAAUGGCAUAUACAAAGAGAAGCGACCUCGCGAGAGCAAGCGGACCUCAUAAAGUAUGUCGUAGUCCGGAUUGGAGUCUGCAACUCGACUCCAUGAAGUCGGAAUCGCUAGUAAUCGUAGAUCAGAAUGCUACGGUGAAUACGUUCCCGGGCCUUGUACACACCGCCCGUCACACCAUGGGAGUGGGUUGCAAAAGAAGUAGGUAGCUUAACCUUCGGGAGGGCGCUUACCACUUUGUGAUUCAUGACUGGGGUGAAGUCGUAACAAGGUAACCGUAGGGGAACCUGCGGUUGGAUCACCUCCUUA
rnacentral:rRNA from 1 species